rnacentral:rRNA from 1 species
UACGUAGGGUCCGAGCGUUGUCCGGAAUUACUGGGCGUAAAGAGCUCGUAGGUGGUUUGUCGCGUUGUUCGUGAAAUCUCACGGCUUAACUGUGAGCGUGCGGGCGAUACGGGCAGACUGGAGUACUGCAGGGGAGACUGGAAUUCCUGGUGUAGCGGUGGAAUGCGCAGAGUAUCAGGAGGAACACCGGUGGCGAAGGCGGGUCUCUGGGGCAGUGAACUGACGCUGAGGAGCGAAAGCGUGGGGAGCGAACAGG